UACGUAGGAUCCAAGCGUUGUCCGGAUUUACUGGGUGUAAAGGGUGCGCAGGCGGGCUGGUAAGUCAGGAGUGAAAUCUCGGCGCUUAACGCCGAAACUGCUUUUUGAUACUGCCAGUCUUGAAUCAGCGAGAGACGUGUGGAAUUCCGAGUGUAGCAGUGAAAUGUGUAGAUAUUCGGAAGAACACCAGUGGCGAAGGCAGCACGUU
rnacentral:rRNA from 1 species